rnacentral:rRNA from 1 species
UUCCUACGGGGGGCAGCAGUGAGGAAUAUUGGUCAAUGGGCUUACGCCUGAACCAGCCAAGUCGCGUGAGGGAAGACUGCCCUAUGGGUUGUAAACCUCUUUUGUCAGGGAGCAAUUGGCGCUACGUGUAGCGUUAUCGAGAGUACCUGAAGAAAAAGCAUCGGCUAACUCCGUGCCAGCAGCCGCGGUAAUACGGAGGAUGCGAGCGUUAUCCGGAUUUAUUGGGUUUAAAGGGUGCGCAGGCGGGAGAUCAAGUCAGCG